rnacentral:rRNA from 1 species
AUUGAACGCUGGCGGCAGGCCUAACACAUGCAAGUCGAACGAGUGGCGGACGGGUGAGUAAUGUCUGGGAAACUGCCUGAUGGAGGGGGAUAACUACUGGAAAAGGUAGCUAAUACCGCAUACCAUCAGAUGUGCCCAGAUGGGAUGAGCUUGUUGGUGGGGUAACGGCUCCCCAGUGCCACGAUCCCUAGCUGGUCUGAGAGGAUGGCCAGCCACACUGGAACUGAGACCCGGUCCAGAUUCCUAGGGGCGGCAGCAGUGGGGAAUAUUGCACAAUGGGCGCAAGCCUGAUGAAGCCAUGCCGAGUGUAUGAAGAAGGCCUGCGGGUUGGACAGUACUUUCAGCGGGGAGGCGUUGCCAGCAGAAGAAGCACCGGCUAACUCGGUGCCAGCAGCCGCGGUAAUUG